rnacentral:rRNA from 1 species
UACGGGGGGAGCAAGCGUUGUUCGGAUUUACUGGGCGUAAAGGGCGCGUAGGCGGCCACCGCAAGUCAAUUGUGAAAUCUCCGGGCUUAACUCGGAAAGGUCAACUGAUACUGCGGGGCUAGAGUGCGGAAGGGGCAACUGGAAUUCUCGGUGUAGCGGUGAAAUGCGUAGAUAUCGAGAGGAACACCUGCGGCGAAGGCGGGUUGCUGGGCCGACACCGACGCUGAGACGCGAAAGCGUGGGGAGCAAACAGG